GGGGUUGUGGCUCACUGGUAGAGCAUGCGCCUAGCAUGCACAAGGCCCUGGGUUCAAUCCUUAGCAACACAU
rnacentral:tRNA from 1 species